rfam:Nitratiruptor sp. SB155-2 genomic DNA, complete genome.
AGGGCAGUAGCUCAGUUGGUAGAGCAACGGUCUCCAAAACCGUUGGCCGGGGGUUCGAGUCCCUCCUGCCCUG